UCCACAAUCACUCUUUUAGAGAAAAUCAGUUUAACAGGUAAAUAUCUGCCUUUUUCAACAACAGCUGGUUGUUUCAUCAGAUGAUUGUUGAUGAGUGACAGGUGCGAUGAGACUGCAGCCGCCAUGCUGGAGUGAAACAGGAGGAUUUGAGAGGAAGCUCACAGUGGGAAAGAUGAAAAGUCUCCAACAUGGAGACGGAGCAGGUGUGUGUGUGUGUGUGUGUGUGUGUGUGUGUGUGUGUGUGUGUGUGGCACUAACACCUGACAUGGAGAUGACAGGUUAGUGAUGUCAUCACAAGGAUUUUGGGGAAACAGAAGGCAGGUGAAUCAACAGCUCACUGGGAUGUUCAGCGUGCAGGCCGUCUGCGACCUUUGCCCUCUGUUCUGCCUGCGCUCCUCCGGGACUUGGACACCUCUCCGCAGUUCCGACCUCACAUCCAGACGGAUGCUGCGGCCUUCACUGAUUUUUGGGGGGGUAAAUUAAAUUUCUGUGAAAAGUUGACCUCUGUUAAGGUUCACAUAAUUGAGGAAGGAGAGUACAAACAACCAGGUCCAGAAGAUCUUGGUCAAACAAUUGAUUUUAAUGAAUACACGCGUGGGAAGACCAUUCUGUAUGCAGACCGGAAUUGAUCUUCGACUUAAUCAAAGCAUACACAGAUUUUAUAGCAUCAGGGUUUGAAUUAAUGACGCCCCUUCAUACGUCACAGACAGAAUAUAUACACACGUCAAAACAUGAUUAAACUUCCACCUAUAAAUGAUUCUCUCUAACUGAGUGUGUGUGUGUGUGUGUGUGUGUGUGUGUGUGUGUGUCGUCCUCAAAUGCUCUCUCAUCUCACCCGUUGCACUUCUGACCUUUUACCAGACCAGAGGCUCAUCCUUAUGUGUAAUAACCUAACUGAAACUACAUGUACUAUGUUGAAUAAAUGUUUUAAUCAAGAACCUCUACUAAGAGCUUAAUAAAAGAAUAUAAAAGUAUAACAGACAAUUUGAAUAACCUAGUAAUUCAAAUAGCCUCGUCUAACCUGCUCAGAAUGACUUUCGG
ensembl:lncRNA